AAACUGUGGUGGUGGCAUAAUCUCAAUAGCUCCUUAAAUUUGUCCCAUGCAUCAUACAUGGAUUCAUUAUCUUUUAGAGCAAAAUUAUUGAUCUAAUUUCUCAACUC